rnacentral:lncRNA from 1 species
AGCCAUGCAGCUAUUUCACUGAAGAGUAUUUCAGGUAAACUAAACAACAAGACUAUCCAUGAAACUCAAAAGCAGAAUAAGUGGUUUCGUGCAUGACCAAUAUGACUGUGGCUCCCAGCAACUGCGGCACAGCUACUCUCCCAUCUGGCAGUCUGAUCCAUCCUCCUUUUAUUAUUUGCCUCCCGUCUGCGUGGAAGAAGUCUUUUUCUUCUUUAGAAUAGAUUUGAAAUAAAACCUCCUUAUUUUGACAAAACAUCUGCUGAAAGAGAGAGACAGAGAUAGAGAAAGAGAUGGAAAUUAUACAUCUCAUGCUCUAAUGAAGUAGUAAUCAGAGAGAGGGAAGCAUAAUACUUCAUUACCAUGUCUGUAGAUGAAUGGAAGAGCAUAUUAUGCAAAUAAGAAAUACAAAGCAUUCCUUGAACCAUAGUCAUCCUUGAGAGAAGUGGAAUGUGUCUCAAGUUCUGUUUUAUGAAGAUAUCAACAUUUUUGAAAAAUAUAGAGAUGAAAAAUAGCAACAUGAAAAUAAAUCUCAGU